CCCUGUGUCCUUGGUCACGGGAUGGGCCAGCCGCCCCUGCCCACACGCGGCCGGUCUCAUCGGGGAGCGAGUGACAGCAGCCGGAUCCAACCUAGCAGAGGAGCCCAUCGCCAAAAGCCCAGCCGGGCGAGAGAGAGCCAAGCAGACGGCACAGCUUGCUGGGAUCCUAGCUCCCCUCCCGCAGACUGAACCUGGACCCUCUGCAGGGAAGUUUGUUACACUUUAAGAACAUCAAGGAGUUAUAUUUUAAGGGAGGGUGACCCCCCAGGGGAGCUCCUAGUUACCCCCAAGGCCCGGCACCCCUCAGGGGCUUUGGAAGGCUGGAAACUUCCCUGUCAGUCAGGGAGCCACCGGCUUGUCACCCUGGAGACUGGGGUCAGAGUCUCAGCAGGCUGGUCCAGGCCUCCACCAUCCCCAGGCGGGGUCCAGGAGGCUCCAGGAUGGGAGCCAGGCAGCUGCACGAGGAAAGAAGGCUCUAAGGCUAUUCGUGUCCUCGUUACCAUGGCAAACACUGGGGAAAAGAAAAACCCACUCAGACUGUCCUGGUGCUGGACACGCAAGCACACCGUUCAGCAUCAGGGUCUUUCCCAACGAGUCAGCUCGUCACAUCAGGUGGA